AAAAAAAAAAAUGAACAAAGGGUUACCUUGAUAGGGUAAAUAAUAGAGGAUAAAACCCUCUCGUCUCCU
rnacentral:tRNA from 1 species